AUUGAACGCUGGCGGCAGGCCUAACACAUGCAAGUCGAACGGACUACUUUGCUUCGGUAAGGUGGUUAGUGGCGAACGGGUGAGCAACGCGUAGACAACCUACCUCUUAGAUGGGGACAACAUCGCGAAAGCGGUGCUAAUACCGAAUGAAGUGACUUUCCUGCAUGGGAGAGAUACUAAAGGUGGCCUCUAUUUAUAAGCUACCACUGAGAGAUGGGUCUGCGUCUGAUUAGCUAGUUGGCGGGGUAACGGCCCACCAAGGCGACGAUCAGUAGCCGGUCUGAGAGGAUGAACGGCCACAUUGGGACUGAGACACGGCCCAAACUCCUACGGGAGGCAGCAGUGGGGAAUCUUCCGCAAUGGACGAAAGUCUGACGGAGCAACGCCGCGUGAGUGAAGAAGGUUUUCGGAUCGAAAAGCUCUGUUGUUUGAGACGAAUGUGCCUGUUUCGAAUAGGGAUAGGUAAUGACGGUAUUAAACGAGAAAGCCACGGCUAACUACGUGCCAGCAGCCGCCGUAA
rnacentral:rRNA from 1 species